UGAGGGUGGAGCCUGCUUAAGAUUCUCUCUCUCUCCCCCCCCCGGCUUGCAUGUUCUCUCCCUCAAAAAAGAUUUUUAUUUGUGAAUUUGAAUAAAUGCAAGAACGCUGCUUCCUGGGAAGCGUUGGGAUAAAUGACACUGUCUCCCUCUGGUCUGUGUGUUCGGCCGUCUCAGGUGGAGCGGGAAGGGACCCAGAGGCACCGACAGCGCUUGCCCACCUAGCUGCGUGCACACAGCCACUCACUGCCUCCUCGUGGGCUGUGGGCAACCAGCCGGCCCAGUGCUUAGCCUCUUCUUGUGAAAGCCUCCUUUGUCCUUAGAAACCACUGAGGCAGAGCUGAGCUACCGCUCGCACGGGAUUUUGCACCAAGACAGCUAAUUGCCUUGCUCCUGUGAUCCCAAGUCCUCUGGGGUCAUCUGAACUGACACCCCCGGUCACGGCUUCGGCUGAGUCCCGUGGGUUGUUUGCCUUCUCGGCUUGCAGACGCGGGCAUCCUUACCUGUGUCGGGUGUGGUCCCCACAGGGACCACAGGGAAGGUGAGGGAGGAAGAGUGAGUGGGCCUGCACGGAGACCUCCUGUUGGUGCUCUGACCACACCCUGUUAUCCACCCCUUCCUAGUUUCUUCAGAAUCUCGAACAGGUUUUCCUAGCUUGCACCUCAGCAUCUCCUAAGAGGACGGCAGCGAGGGUGCAGAGGAGGAGCCCGUGGCCAGAGCCUGGCGGGGCUGCUGGAUUGCAGAGUGGCCGCCGUCAGCCAGGAGGCAGGUCUCUAAGGCCAGCAUGCUACUUUUUUAAAUGUUUCAUCUGCUUGCAGAAAAAAGCUUCACGCUGGUAACCGUGGCGGGUCACCUAGGGUGUGUAGUAGGAUUUGAGUUAGAAAGCACCCUGCCCUCCCUGGGCUGCUUUUCUUCACAUGACCACGUGGCACCUCCCAAGAGUGGCCUCGGUCCAGGCCGGAGAAUUCACAGAAGACCCAGGAGCCCUGGGGACAGAAGAUGGGCUGUGGUGGAGACCAGGAUCUGGGUGUGAGCCUGCCCUAUCCUGGUUCCCACUGUGGAUCUCGCCUCGACGGGUUUAACAGGCCAGAUCCCCGAGGUGUCCUACUAAGUGACAGGCAGCGUAUGAAUGUGGGUCCACAUGCCUCAGGAUUUUCCUCCCUGGGACUGCACCACAUGCUGUGGCCUGUGCACUCAGUGCUGCACUUGUCAGGGACGGCCCACCUCUUCACCAACGGGCUGAGGGUUGACAGGCCUCCCUCUUCAUCCCAUUUGCUGUCAGAAUGGGCCUGGGCCAGGGUGGGGUCAGGUGCCCCCAUGUGACCUGCUUUGGGAAAAUGGCAACUUGAGUCGGAUGCACUCAAGUCACCAUGGAGGAGUCACAAAAAACCUGUCUGCAUGGCAGUCUGGCACACUUUCUCGGUGCCACAGUUUCUGCUGUCUGCUCCCCCGGACCCCGCUUCUGGCCUUGGUGGUUCCCCUGACCCCUGCCACGAUUCCCACGUGAAGCAGAUGUGACGGGAUGAACCAUCCCCAGAAUGAGCGUGGGAAGUAAACCAAGAGGAACGAGCCUCUUACCAGCAAGAUCACACAUCCCCAGCAGAGGGUCCCACAAAUCCUCGUGGGUUCCCUGAUCUAGCAAAGCAAAGAAACACCUAGCAACCGUGGUGCCUGCCCCUUACAGCUUCCUUAAGUGGUAACUCUGACCCCGAAACACUCAGCCUUUACUGGCUGUCAGGAACCAGUCGCUUCACGGGGGCUGUCGGGGGAUCCCCACCAGGAGUGGAGUCUGUAAGCAGUCUCCCUUCUUGGGAGGAGCCCAGGCCCGCCAAGCCCUUGCAAGGGAUGUGGGGGACACUGCGGGAGCCUGCCACCACCCCAGCCAGGCAGUCAAGCACAGGACGGGUGGUGUUCUACCAGAAAUUAUCCAAGAAGCAGUCUUGUUCUCUGAGUUGACUGGUACACUGCCAAACACCGUCCACCUCUCUAGAACCAGAGGCCUCCACCCCUCAGUGAGCAGACGCUGUGUCUUCCAAGAGCAAGUUAGGCUGGGGACAGGAGCCCAUCUCCCCGGUUCACCUUGGCUUCCAGCAUAUUUGGCAGCGGCCAGGCCUCUGGUGUCCCCUGGGUCCUCCACCCUGUGCUUGGCCUGGCUGGGGCCUGGCUGCCACCCCCUGGCCAGCCUGAGGUGGUCCUGUGCCCCCUCUUCUGCAGUUAGGCUGAGGGGCAGAGCUUCAGAAGGAGGAGGUGUGGGAGCCCCCACCCCACCCCAGGACCCUCCGCUGCCUGUCCGGCUCCCACCACCCGGCUUUGGGCCUCAGCCAGGGCCGAAGUGCUGGGAGCUCUGUCUGUACCAGGACUGGAAAUGGAGGUGGGGGAGGAGGCAGGGAAGAAAUACAAGGGAAGAUGUUUCAGUUCUCCCUCUUGGCCUCUAUUUUAGGAUUACAGGGUUUCAAAGCAUUUAUUUUUAUUGGAAUUUCAAAUCAAAACAUCGAAGUAAUAGUCUCCAUCCCAAAUGAGGUACAGACAUGUCACAAUAGCAAGAAGAACCCGGUACCCCAAGUAUAGGAACCAGAAAUAGUAAACUGCGUCCCUAACCUUCCACCAUCCCUUUAAAAUGAAGAACAGAGCUCCAAAAAAGAGGCUUCAGACAGACGUUUCCAGUGCGUUCUGGCUUUCUUCCCUGGCCUGCCUGGUUCAGUGUGGACACUUGGCGAAGGGUGAGUGCAGGCUGCACCUCGGCCUGGGUUGGAGCCGUGGGGAGCCGCGUGGGGCGGCCCAUCUCACAGUGCCUGCCUCGGCCUCAGUCGGCCUCACCAAAGACACCUGAAACCCACCGGGCAGCUGGAAAGCAAAAGCUGAGUGAGCUGUGAUCAAGGGCCAGUGUUUUUAGAGCUCUAUGUUCUGGGCCAACCACUUGCUCAUUCAGUAGAUGAGCGGCCAGGUAGGAGAAUGAGGGGCGUGAAGGGGGUCUGCCCACCCCUUCAGCAGGGCAGACCUACACUGGUGAGUGAGUAGUCUGUCCCAGCGGGCCUCCUGCUUGACAGAUCUCUGGGCACCCCAGGCCUGUGGCCUCUGCUAGCCAGCCUGCCUGGGGUGACAGGGCCCACCGCACCCCAUUCCUGAGAAGUAAGAGAGGGGCUGCUGCAGCUGUCACAGGCAGGUGACAAAGUGCAGCUGCUUUGGGGUUAGAUGGUCCAUUGGAGCGCCCUCUCCUCAGGACACCUUGGGCUGAACCGGCUCUUGCUACAGAGGGGGAGGUGGGGGGGGCUUCAGUGCGGGUUGGGGGCGGGGUGUCCAGCUAUGGUAAAGACUCCAUACCUAAGGAACCCUAGACUUCUGGAGCCCCUUCAGCCCAAGGUCGGGGCUGGGGGGCGUAGAGAGAAGCCUGAGGGAGGUGUGGGUUUAAAGGGCUGUCUGGACCUCCCAGGGUGGUGCCCGAGGCCAAGCUCAGCGGGGAGGGCAUGAACUCAUGGCCCCCGCCCCAGGCCACUGUCCUGAGGACAAUGACCUGGGCCUUCCCUGGCUGGGCCCUGGGGGUUUACAGGGUGGAAUGGGAGGAGAGGCGGAUCCGGGCUAUUCAUAGGCGGGGGUUUUAUAGAUCUUUUCCCACCCUUUGGUGCUGUCUGGGAGAUUGAUCGGCUAAUAAGGCAUUUCUGUUCCAGUCCAGAGGGUGUGAAAAAAGAAGGAGGCGGCCAUCAGCCGAGCCCGGGGGCAGAAGGAAAUUCCUGUAAAACGACGUUCCCAGGACCAGCACUGGUAGCUGAGAGCCUCCUGCCAGGAUGGUGGGUGGGGAUCGGGCACCCUGGUGUCGGAGCACGGGUGCAGAAGACCUGCCGGAGCAGCCCACGCUUGGGAGCCGGGCCUGGGAAGGGCUGGUGAUAGCAACAAGACCGGUGUGCGUGUGCGUGUGUGCGUGUGUGCGUGUGCGUGUGCGCGCGCAUGCGUGAUGCAAAGCAGAACGCAGAAAUGCAGGUAAAAGUCUCUCCGGCCGCAGAGUUCCAUCUGUCCCACACAGCGCACGUGAAACUGCCCUGGGGGAGAUAAAAUGAGCCCAGGGCUUUGGCUCCUCAGCCCCCAGGACUGGGAAGGGACGGAGAACUCUCAAAAGGCUCCUCCCGCCACCUGCUCCAGCUCCCUGAGUCACUUCCGACGGCUCUGCCACUUUACGCCGCUGUCACACUGAGGGGGUGCAGGAUGCCGCGGUUUCUCUUUUCUUAAGCCUCCUUGUGCUCCUUCUGCCGGCCUGUGGCGGUGGCUCCUCUGCCGGAGCCCAGCCCAGGAGGCGUUCCUGUCUGUGGGCGGUGCGGGAGGUGCCGGAACCGCAUGUGGUUGGGCCCUGGCAGUACUGCCAAGAGCCCCGUGUUCCAGAAAGUUCUUUUCCGUUCUAACAGUCUUCCCUUGUUGCACCAGGUCUGGCAGAACAGGCCUCGGGGGCAGGAGUGUCCUAGGACUGGAGAGGAUACUCCCGGAGAUGGGAAAGGCAGAAGGAAAGGAAGCCCUCUGGGCUAAGACCUCAGCGCUCCUCAGCCUGAUGCUUCAGGCUCCACCACCCGACCGCCUGAUUUCAGUCUCCCAGGACUUGAACAUCAGGAGCUUGACGGGCCUGGCCCCGCACAGACUGACUCCACAGAUGCACUCCGGUAAGCGCACGUCCACGGCCCCGGCUCUGUGCCCACAUGGGAGCAGAGCGCACACCGAUCUUUCCACGUGACAGACUUUCAAGAUUGGCUCGCAGGAGCUUGACUUCUGUUUGGACGUUCCUGUGGUCUGAACAUCACACCCUUCAGGAGGCAGUAGUGGCACAUAGCUGUAAUAGGCUCUCUUCCCAGAGUAGCAGCAGCCUUCCUACCACCCAGUUCCAAGCAGAACUGCCAGAGCCUUCUGUGGAGAGAACCCCAGCCCAGACUUCAAGAUGCUGACAUUUGGAUGUCUUUCCAGAAACAAACCCCCAGCUAGAGCAAUGGUUCUCCAGCGGAGGGUGAGGGGGGUUCCUCCCAGACAUUCUGGAGAGAGUCUUGUCGCCGCUGGGCUGGCACGUAGUGGGGAGAGGCCAGGGAUGCUGCUAACACCCUCCAGCGCACAUGACACCCCCACAUGGAUGCACCUGCUCUACACUGUCAAUCGCGCCACACUGGAGAAACUCGGCCUCAGGUGUCUGCGCACUGGCUCUCUGCCAAGGGCCCUUCUCUACCUCUUCUGGAUUAGCCGUCGGGCUGUUUCAUGGUACUCAACCUUCUCGAAUGCUAAAGACUGAGCUGACUUACGAUACUUUAUGAAGAUUCACCGGGUUUUCAAACUUCCCUCAGCCUCACGCACAGGUCUGCAGCUGGACUAUUUUGUGAGAAUGCACGGCACAACCUGAAUUUGUGGAAUACUCUAGCUCCUUAUUCACGGCAGCUUCUCUGUGGGAGAGACUUAAAGGUGGUCCAUUCUGAAUGUGACUGUUUCCCCAGAAUGGGUGAAUAUGUGACUGGAAUAACUGGGUGUCUCUGAGGAGCAUUCUCUGGGCCACUUCCUUUCACACCCCAUGAGCAAGGCCAGGCCCACCAUCAUCUCUCUGGCCUGUAAAGCAAGGCAAACUCCAGCAAGGGUCUGCUUCUCCAUUCCCAAGGUGACAGAAUUGGAGACCAGCAGAACAGGAGUUCCCCAGGGAGAAGGAGGGCACAGGCUCCAGGAGGAAGGGUUUGAGUCCCAGCUGCCAGGCUUGAGAAGGCUCCCCUCAGGGCUGUGGUUCCAUCCACAGGUACUGAGGAUAAGGACAGAAGGUCAGAGAUCAGGUGACAAAAAAUGCCACCAAUGCUUUCAUGAUUCAAAAGUGCCUGCUGUUGACUUAUAAUGUUGAAAAAUAAUUAGUUGAAAAACUAAUAUCCUAUCAGUUUCAGGUUUACAUCAUAGUGAUUUAAUAUUUUUAUACAUUAUGAAAUGAUGUGAUAUCUAGUUAUCAUCUGUCAUCACACAAAGUUAUUACAAUAAUAUUGACUAUAUUUCCCAUGCUGUACAUGACAGCCUCAUGGACUUUAUUCAUUUGUUUUACUUUUUAGAUUCCACAUAUAAGUGAAGUUGUAUGAUAUUUGUCUUUCUCUGUGUGACAUAUUUC